GGAAGGAUCAUUAUCGUACUACAGAGGUGCAAGGGUUGUCGCUGACCUUUCCAAAAGGUCGUGCACGCCCGAGCGCUCUCAAUCCAUUUCACCCCUUGUGCAUCACCGCGCGGGGUCGCUCCCUCUUGGCUCGCUUCGAGAGGGGGAGGCUCGCGUUUUUCACACAUAAACACCCUUCUGGUUUAGAAUGUCAUUCAUUUGCGAUCACACGCAAUCAAUACAACUUUCAACAACGGAUCUCUUGGCUCUCGCAUCGAUGAAGAACGCAGCGAAAUGCGAUACGUAAUGUGAAUUGCAGAAUUCAGUGAAUCAUCGAAUCUUUGAACGCAUCUUGCGCCCCUUGGUAUUCCGAGGGGCACACCCGUUUGAGUGUCGUGAAAUUCUCAAACCUUCUUGGUUUCUCGAUCAAGAUGGCUUUGGACUUUGGAGGCAUUUUGCUGGCUUUGCGAAAAGCCAGCUCCUCUUAAAUACAUUAGUGGGGUCCCCUUUGCCGAUCCCCAGGCGUGAUAAGAUGUUUCUACGUCUCGGGAUUUGCUCUGUUCCUUGGGAACCCGCUUAUAACCGUCUCAUGGGAGACAUCGUUCGAGCAUGCUCGACCCACGAACC
rnacentral:rRNA from 1 species